rnacentral:rRNA from 1 species
AUGGCCGACGAGGGCAGUUCUGGGUUUCCACAUAUUUUUGCUUGUGUGGUGUAUCGUUGGUGGCCAGUGAUGGAUAGGAGUGGGGAGGGCGACCGAUUGGUCAGAACCCUAGCUGCCAGUCCCCCUCGAUCUCACGCCCCUCUCCUUCGUCCCCUCCCCUCCGUGCUCCUGUCCUCCCCACCUCGUCAUUCUUCUCCUGCCGCCCAGCCGGCCGCCACCGCUCUCCCUGCCGAGCUGGCCGCUACCGCUCUCCCCGCCGAGUUGCCGUCCUCACACACGAUCGUCCUUGCCAUUCUAUCAGUGGAAAGCUCCACCAUGACGGCAUCCACCGGAUCCGGUGUUGCUGUGCGUGAGGAGGACGGACAUGGGAAAGGCGCAACAAGGCAGCAUUGGCGUCGCUGUGGUGAUGUGCGUGAGGAGGACGGAUGUGGGGAAGGUGCAACAAGCCGGCCCUCGCGUCGCAGUAGAGUGGAGCUGGCCAUCACUGUCGACCACUGCUCGUCGGUCGUCGUCCCUCAUCCACCAUCUAGAUUGGACGUCUUUGGCCUUGCCAUCUUGCUCCUCUCGGUUUUUUCCUCUUUAUUUCAUAGGUUCGUUGACAAUUUGAUUUUGAUUUUUUGA